rnacentral:ncRNA from 2 species
GGUCACGAUUGUCAGCGCCCGUCGUGCGGGUUCUCCCGUUCGACGCGGUUAUCGGCCCCGGCCCGCUGACAGGCAACCCUUCCACCGCGACGGGGUGCCCCGGGUGACGACCGGGUCCCGCCGGUGCGGCGGGGCAAGCGUGGUCU